UACGUAGGGCGCAAGCGUUGUCCGGAAUUAUUGGGCGUAAAGAGCUCGUAGGCGGCUUGUCACGUCGGGUGUGAAAGCCCCGGGGCUUAACCCCGGGUCUGCAUUCGAUACGGGCAGGCUAGAGUGUGGUAGGGGAGAUCGAAUUCCUGGUGUAGCGGUGAAAUGCGCAGAUAUCAGGAGGAACACCGGUGGCGAAGGCGGAUCUCUGGGCCAUUACUGACGCUGAGGAGCGAAGACGUGGGGAGCGAACAGG
rnacentral:rRNA from 1 species